ensembl:lncRNA
UGUUGUGUGUCCAAUAAGUGUCAACAGAACUGGUUCAUGAGUUUUUAUCUUAAAACUUUUUUUUAGAAAUCAUGCAAUCCACAAAUAAUCCAAGUUAGUUUCCUAUUGAUCACAGAUUUUAUAUUUUCAAAAUCCUUUCAUUUUUUUCUCUUGGAAUUAUUUGAGACAAUUGACUUAAGGCACCAAUUUUAUCCCAAAUUAGAAUAAAUGCCUUGGCACAAGACGUGAAGUAGGGGCCUUGGGUGGACUUGUGGAGGGGAGCUGGCGGUCUUCUGAGCACCCAGCAGGACUUGCUCCUAGUUCAAGCUGAUCUCUGUGCAGGAACUUGCAUUUUCCAACAAUUCAUUUCCUUACCACAGGGACACAUAAGAGGGUAAAAAGGCAAAAUGACUUUUCUCUGAGGCCCUCACAUCUUAGGUUGGGGUCCCCUUAGGAGUUUGUAUUCGUUUCUUGAACUGUUGUCACGUGUCCUCAUCAUUUCCGCCUCUGCCUUCCUGAGCCUUCGAGUGCCACCUCGGGCCGAGGUAUCCUGCCUGGAAAGGCCCCCAUGUUUUACUGGGAGAGAGGACAUUCACGUGAAAAUAGAAAUACCAGGAGGUCUGGAAGGAGCAUCAAAUAUGUGAUGGAAAUGUGGAAUUCAUGGUGAUGGUAGGAAUGUACUUCCAAGUAUACUUGAGACCCCCACAUGAAUUUCUCAAAGGAUGCGUUCACGGUAUGUGAGCUGUAUCUCAGUUAAAGAAAAUACGUGACAGACCUAGUACUUGAGGAAUACAGAGGAAUUCAGGAAAACAGGGGAUCCCUCCAGCGGCCAGCUAUAUCAUGGAGGUGCUGGUCCCUGAGCACAGCCUUGAAAGGAAAGAGUGCGGGGAAAGGAGAGAUUCAGGAGGAGCAGAGUGAGGGUGGGGUGGGGGGAAGCGCAUGGGUCCUGCUAGAAGAGGAAGGAGCCAGGCGGUCAGAGAGGGACACCCAGGAAGGGAGGGACAGUAGGCAGGAACACCAGUUGGGGCUAGAUUACAGAGGUCAAGCAGCAUAUGGGCAAGAAAAGCCUUGUAAUCUUACACCUGGGAUCUGACACAUGCCUAGCAGUGGCUUGGGAAGGUUAAUUUCCCUGGGUUGUAUGGGAUGGACAAGCAUAGGAAAAGAUUUAAGAGGAGGAGAUCUUGGCAGCCGUCACAACAUUCUGGAAGUAGUCAGCAAAGGUGGCAAUGCAGCGGGGGAUGGAUAGCAAAGGUAGCAAUGCAGAUUUGAUGGAUACUGUAUGAGAAGAGCCAACAGGACUUGAUACCUGACUGGAUGGAGAAGAAGGCUCAAAGGCCACUCUAGAGUCUUCAGCUUAGGACUCCACGAGAAGAGCAGCAACUAAAAUAAGCACUGGUUUGGGGCAAGGAUGUUGAAUUCAAUCUUAGGCAUGCUGGGUUUGGGGUGAUGGUGGGACGUUAAGAGGACAUUGAGCCAGCAGUGACGUGAUGACCCCAGAAGCAGCUCAUUCAUGGGUACAGAAACUGGGGCCAGAGACUCUCACCCUUGCCUGAGGUUACAGAGCAUGCUGUUGACAAGCUGGAGCCAGAAUCCUGGGUUCUGAAGCUCUUCCUCCUACCAGGCAGCUGUCAGAUGUGGGGCUAGUGCUUGGAGAGGUGAGGAGACAAGGAGUUCAAAUCCACAAGAGAGGUGAGAGUAGAAGGCGUGGGAGUAGGGAAGGUUUUGCAGGGGGAUGAUAGGAGAGGAGCAAAGGGCAGAGGGCAAGGACCAAGCCUUGCCACGUGUCCUCGCGUAGGGGACACGCAAAGAAAGCAGAGAGCAAGGAGAUGCCAACUGAAAU